UGUAAAAAAAUGUCCUACUAAAAUAGUGACCUUAUAACUUCACCCUUUGUCUAAGCAAAAUAAAACACCCCAAUACAAACAAAACCCAUUAAUUUCUUCUUAUUCUCAUUCUCAUUCUUCUCUGUCUUAUUAUUAUUAGUAGUAUCUUCUUCUUCUAUUUUCCAUAGCACGUUCACCUACAUGAGAGCCACAUCCAUUUGUCCAAAUGGGGUGGCUCCAAUCCCUCUUCUCUCCGUUGAAGAAGCUCUGGUUUCGUCUCCACUCUGCUCCAAAGAAAAGAAGAGGGAUUUAUAUUCUAUACGAAGAUGUGAAGUCGUGCCCCUAUGAAGAUGUUCAUGUUCUAUGGUCGAUUCUAGUGGAAUCACAUGCUUUGCCGACAAAAGCUUGAAGCCUUCAAAUGCAGAGAUUCUCUGGCCAUCCAUGUACAUACAUUUAUUUAUAAAUCUCUUAUUAUAUAUCAUACUUAGUAUAUAUAUAAAUAUAUUAUAUACUAUAUGAAAAGGGUUUUUCCAAUCACUACUUCUCUUGAGUUUUCUUGUGAUUGUUAGUGAGGUUUGUUUUAGAAUCUUACACUUUCACAUAAUCAAAUGUUGAGAUGAAACUUUAGUUACCAAAAGCAAAGAAAAGUAAAAAAAGAAAGCAUUAUACGUUUGGUUUUUAAUUAAUCCAUAUUUAAAUAUAGCUUCUUAUUUGUUGUUCUGUCUAUUUUUAGCUGUUGUGCUGGCUUUUUUGCCAUUUGACUUGGUGUUCGUGACUUGUGUAUGGGUCUUAUUUUUUUGGUUAAUUAA